UGGUGGAGUGAUUUGUCUGGUUAAUUCCGAUAACGAACGAGACUUCGGCUUAUUAAAUAGCACAGACAAGCUUCUGAUUGGGUGAAGUAGUUGUGUCUGAUCGAUGCGGGAAACUGCGUUGUGAAGCACUUCUAUGGAACCUUGAUGACUUGGCUGUAAUUCACGCUUCUUAAAAGGACUAUUGGCGUUUAGUCAAUGGAAGUGAGGCAAUAACA
rnacentral:rRNA from 1 species